AUUGAACGCUGGCGGCAUGCCUUACACAUGCAAGUCGAACGGUAACAGGUCUUCGGAUGCUGACGAGUGGCGAACGGGUGAGUAAUACAUCGGAACGUGCCUAGUAGUGGGGGAUAACUACUCGAAAGAGUGGCUAAUACCGCAUGAGAUCUACGGAUGAAGGCAGGGGAUCGCAAGGCCUUGUGCUACCAGAGCGGCCGAUGGCAGAUUAGGUAGUUGGUGGGAUAAAAGCUUACCAAGCCGACGAUCUGUAGCUGGUCUGAGAGGACGAUCAGCCACACUGGGACUGAGACACGGCCCAGACUCCUACGGGAGGCAGCAGUGGGGAAUUUUGGACAAUGGGCGCAAGCCUGAUCCAGCAAUGCCGCGUGCAGGAUGAAGGCCUUCGGGUUGUAAACUGCUUUUGUACGGAACGAAAAGCCCUGGGUUAAUACCCUGGGGUCAUGACGGUACCGUAAGAAUAAGCACCGGCUAACUACGUGCCAGCAGCCGCAGUAAGAC
rnacentral:rRNA from 1 species